rnacentral:pre_miRNA from 8 species
GAACAUUCAAAGACACUGCUACUUACAGUUAGUUUUGCUGGUUUGCAUUUCAGCGUGUGGAUAUAUGGCUGUGCAAAUCCAUGCAAAACUGAUUGUGAUACUGUGUUUCUUCUGCGGCCCUA